rnacentral:misc_RNA from 1 species
GAUGAAGAACGUAGCGAAAUGCGAUAAGUAAUGUGAAUUGCAGAAUUCAGUGAAUCAUCGAAUCUUUGAACGCACAUUGCGCCCGCCAGUAUUCUGGCGGGCAUGCCUGUUCGAGCGUCAUUUCAACCAUCAAGCCCCAGGCUUGUGUUGGGGACCUGCGGCUGCCGCAGGCCCUGAAAACCAGUGGCGGGCUCGCUGUCACACCGGGCGUAGUAGAUUUUAUCUCGCUCUGGGCGUGCUGCGGGUUCCGGCCGUUAAAAAACCCCUUUAACCCAAGGUUGACCUCGGAUCAGGUAGGAAUACCCGCUGAACUUAAGCAUAUCAAUAAGCGGAGGA